GACGCACGCUGGCGGCGUGCCUAAUACAUGCAAGUAGGACGCAGUUGCGAACGGGUGAGUAACGCGUAGGUAACUACCUAUUAGAGGGGGAUAACUAUUGGAAACGAUAGCUAAUACCGCAUACUAGUAGAUGGACCUGCGUUGUAUUAGCUAGUAGGUAGGGUAAUGACCUACCUAGGCAACGAUGCAUAGCCGACCUGGGGGUGUGAUCGGACACACUGGGACUGAGACACGGCCCAGACUCCUACGGGAGGCAGCAGUAGGGAAUUUUCGGUAAUGGGGGGAACACUGACCGAGCAACGCCGCGUGAGUGAAGACGGCCUUCGGGUUGUAAAGCUCUGUUGUAAGAAAAGCAUUAUCUUACCAGAAAGCCACGGCUAACUACGUGCCAGCAGCCGCGGUAAUAC
rnacentral:rRNA from 1 species